CUUAUUUUCAUCUUUGUGAAUACACUACCGCAGAAGCGGAGAGUAGUGGCGGAGAAACAGCGGCUGUGGCCAAAAUCGCCACAUAUUGGACGGAUAGCUGCAGAGAUGACCGGCGGUCUGGAUAAAUGACGCAAAACGCUCCUGGAUAGCGGCUGGGCAGCGAAGACCGCAGCUAAAUCAGGAUAUAUAUCGUCAACAUUCCUCAUCUGACCCUAUAUUCUUGGCGCGCACCAAAGCAGAGCAGAGGCGCGAAACACACCCACCCCCUGUGCCACAAUAUACCCGGCGACUACUUCCAUAAACGCCGCUAGAAACCCGCGAGUUUCUUUUAGCAGCGCGCCAACCAAGAGCAAGAACAGAGCCGUGAACUUCAGCGCAGGAACCCACCCAGAAACCCCUAAAAUUUUCGAGCUAUUGCCUGUCAUCCACGAGUCCUGAAACCAUACUCUCUCAGCCAUUGUGUGCAAAAUCCCUGACCUUUGCUCCACUUUGCGCUUUCGUGUUGGUUGUCGAGCCGCACAGCUGUCAUCAGUGCUUCUCUCACCGGGGUUGAAGUUGAGCAUAUCCCCCUUCACUGGAAUGUCUCGAGACAAUAUACAAAAGGAAUCUGAAGACCUGGUGGAGGUGGUUCCAGAUUCAUUGGAAGGAGAGAAUGUUGUCUCCUCCGAUAUCUCUGAGGGCGAAGAUUCUGCUGGACGAACGGCUUCAAUGUUGUCCUACGACCUCAAUAGAACACCCGAAGAGAAUGAAUAUCCUUAUAGUGGAAUGUCUCCCGAGAAGAAGAAUGCGUGGCACUUGGCUAUGUGGGCAACAAGAUACUUAAAUCCUUAAGGGGAAAGCUUUGGUUUAGGUGAAGAACUUCGAGGCCGGUUGCAUAUGAUAGCCGAGACAAAACUAUGCAAUAUUAAUUAAGGAGAUUAUAUUUUCAUAACUAAUUUAUCAUGCCACUGUCUGAUAUUUAAUUUUUUAUGUAGUUCUUGUUUUAAAGAUUUUACUAUUUGGUUAAUUUACUAUACAUGCACUAUAACAAUAUCAUGAAAUAUGGAUGACUCAUUGCUAAUAAGUAUGUUAGUAAUACUUAUCAGAUAUAUAC